rnacentral:lncRNA from 1 species
AAGUACUUGGGAUGGUUGGUUUGAUCAACCUCUCAGUCUUGGUUCAGCAAGGAGGCUCUGAGAACUCUUACUGCCUGAAGUUACAGCAGAUGCCUGUGAGGCGACUGUUCAGCUGGGUGAUGAUAUCAUCACAGGGCUGCGGAUGGCAUCUCCCAGGUUGGGAAAGAUCCUGCCAUGGAGCUCUCGUAUUUCUGGUGUGUUCACUCUGUUCCCACAGGGACCUCAGGAGUUCCACAAGAAGACCAAGCUACACAACUGUCACAUAUAUGCAGGGGUCAGUCCCAUGCAGGCUCCCUGGUUGGUGGUUCACUCUCUGUGAGUCCCUAUGAUCCAGGAUUCCCCUUUAGAAUAUAUUAACAGCUUCUGCCAACCCCACACCUAAGGAUGGCAUCAGGACAACAUCUGCAGCCGAGAGCAGAGACUCCCCUGCUUUUCUGUUACCUACCUCCCUGAUGUUUCCAGCAAGGCAUUUGGAAAAUGCCUUGAUUUAUGACUUUCUUUUGUUCUUCGAG